UACGAAGGGGGCUAGCGUUGCUCGGAAUGACUGGGCGUAAAGGGCGCGUAGGCGGAUGGCACAGUCAGAUGUGAAAUUCCCGGGCUUAACCUGGGGGCUGCAUCUGAUACGUGUUGUCUUGAGUUCGGAAGAGGGUCGUGGAAUUCCCAGUGUAGAGGUGAAAUUCGUAGAUAUUGGGAAGAACACCGGUGGCGAAGGCGGCGACCUGGUCCGACACUGACGCUGAGGCGCGAAAGCGUGGGGAGCAAACAGG
rnacentral:rRNA from 1 species